UACGAAGGGGGCUAGCGUUGUUCGGAAUUACUGGGCGUAAAGCGCACGUAGGCGGAUUCUUAAGUCUGGGGUGAAAGCCCGGAGCUCAACUCCGGAACUGCCUUGGAUACUGGGAGUCUCGAGGAUGGAAGAGGUCAGUGGAAUGCCGAGUGUAGAGGUGAAAUUCGUAGAUAUUCGGCGGAACACCAGUGGCGAAGGCGACUGGCUGGUCCAUUUCUGACGCUGAGGUGCGAAAGUGUGGGGAGCAAAUAGG
rnacentral:rRNA from 1 species